CCUACGUGGAGCAGCAGUGAGGAAUAUUGGUCAAUGGGCGCGAGCCUGAACCAGCCAAGUAGCGUGAAGGAUGACUGCCCUACGGGUUGUAAACUUCUUUUAUAAAGGAAUAAAGUGAGGCACGUGUGCCUUUUUGUAUGUACUUUAUGAAUAAGGAUCGGCUAACUCCGUGCCAGCAGCCGCGGUAAUACGGGGGAUCCGAGCGUUAUCCGGAUUUAUUGGGUUUAAAGGGAGCGUAGAUGGGUUGUUAAGUCAGUUGUGAAAGUUUGCGGCUCAACCGUAAAAUUGCAAUUGAUACUGGCAGUCUUGAGUACAGUUGAGGUAGGCGGAAUUCGUGGUGUAGCGGUGAAAUGCUUAGAUAUCACGAAGAACUCCGAUUGCGAAGGCAGCUUACUAAACUGCCACUGACAUUGAUGCUCGAAAGUGUGGGUAUCAAACAGGAUUAGAUACCCGAGUAGUC
rnacentral:rRNA from 1 species